AUUUAUUUACCCACCUUUCCUUUUUCACCAACUUUCCCUUUACCCACCUUCCCCCUACCUUCUUCCUCCUUCAAGUCUUCACGAAAAAUCUGCAGAAAAUUCGUUCCCCUAAAAAAUUCAGUCUUAUUGAAAUUGAUCCCAAAAAAAACAUUAAAUCACCCAAAAUAUGGCAGGAGGAGGAAGAUCAUAUUCAGCUUUUUCUUCAAAUUCAAGGGGAGUAGUGUACUGCAAGUGUGGUGGAAUUGCGGUUGUAAGAACAGUGAAACGCAGAUCCAAUAUUGGGAGGAAGUUCCAUGGAUGAUUCGAAGUGUGACUUCAUUAGGUGGAUUGAUGAAGGUAAUGUCACAUAUGAAUUGGAUGACCUUCGGUUUCGCCUUCUAGAAACAUAUGUGACCAUAUCAUAGUUGGAAUAUGAGUUGACGUUGAAGAAUGACAAAAUCAAAAAAAUACAGAUCAAAAAGAAGUUGGAGGAAAUCAAUCAGGAGCUGAACAUGGAACUAAGCCAAUUGUGCAUUAAGAGGACUACUUGUGCUACAAGAACUGAGAACAAUUUGCCAAUGAUGGCUUUUCUUUCAUGGGUUUUUUUGCAAUUGUGUUGUAUUACCUAAAGUAAUGUCGUGUGUUGUUGUGCCUUAACCUAAAUUGGUGAAUGUAUUAGACCUUUUAUAAUUACUAAUAUAUGAAGAACUUGGCAUUUUAGCUUGAAUUAAA